rnacentral:lncRNA from 1 species
GUACACAGCUGAGGGCUCCUUCUGAGGCCAGCCUUCUCCCAGAGGACCUUGGUGGAGGAAUAGAGCUGAGCUCCAGUUGUAGCUGGAAGGUCGUUAAUUGGAUGCAGGCUUGCUGGGGAGGGAGUGUCUGUAGCCUGGGGCCCCGAUAUGCCUUUGGGAGGCCCUGGGAAGCCUGCAUCUGGCUCAUGCUGCUGUACAACUUCAGUUUCCCCCGGUGUGGAGUAGGAGGGGUACCAUAGCUGACUUGUGUGGGCUAUAAGCAUGACGUCUGAGCCCGAGUCCUUCUACAGAGGAAGCAUAGUGCCAGGUUGGUGUAGGGAGGUUUACUGUGUGAUAGACCCUGAGUUCAGGGUCUUAGAGUCCCCAGACUUGGGAGCACAUUUGUUCCUGGGCAGUGGGUUUACUCAGUGUUGAGCUGACCUGACCUCUUCUCAGAAUACGCCGUGGUGGUGGGCACCAGAUACCUGGUGACCUUUGAUGGGCAGGUGUGGGGCCUGGGUCCCUGCUGUGGCAGCUUCCUGCUAGCCAAGGACUUCACUCACCAAACAUUCUCUCUGAUGCUGAGCCGCACAAGCUCAGGCUUCACGGCCCUUCAUGUGGAGCUGAACCACACAACCCUCGUUCUGUAUCCUAGCCUAAAGGUACGUGCUCGGGAGUGGGAGGGGCUCCCUGGAGCUGCUUGUCUGCAUGUUGCCUACAGGUUUGGUGCUGGGAGUGAUUCCAGCUUAUCCCUGUGUGGUCCACAGGCUUACAAGCAGUACGACACUGCCUGGCCUCAGGACAGCUGCUGGGAUUUAGACCCACCUCCUGCUAUGUUGAGCACUGGACCCAAGGUUGAGCUGAGCAGCGAGGAUGGUGUGUCUGUCUUCUGUGAUGUGCCAGCAGGCCUCUGCAGCCUGACGCUGAGCCUGUGGCACCAUGGUGGGUGA